rnacentral:rRNA from 1 species
UACAGAGGGUGCGAGCGUUAAUCGGAAUUACUGGGCGUAAAGCGUGCGUAGACGGUUAUUUAAGUCGGGUGUGAAAGCCCCGGGCUCAACCUGGGAAUUGCAUUCGAGACUGAAUAGCUAGGGUACGGUAGAGGGAAGCGGAAUUUCCGGUGUAGCGGUGAAAUGCGUAGAUAUCGGAAGGAACACAGUGGCGAAAGCGGCUUC